rnacentral:tRNA from 1 species
GGUGGCUCAGUGGUAGAGUGCUUGCCUAGCUAGCAUGAGGGCCUGGGUUCGAUUCCUCAGCACCA